rnacentral:lncRNA from 1 species
AGACUGUCUGAGCUGCAGAGCCGGUUCUGCCACCCUUGGCGGCUCUUUUCCUCUUGGCAGGGGUUUCCCUGAGUGUUCCUGGUGGCUGCCCUCGUUUGGUGUCGGUGAAGUCAUGGAAUAGAAUUCCAGGGAGAGUUCCCUAAAAUAGAAUUGAUGCCCUGCCUGGCACAGGGGCUGCUGCUGAGGGCUGAGCUCACCCCUUAUCACUCACCUCCUC